CACUGGUAGGUGUGUCUUAUAAAAAGGAGCUUCCACCCAGUCCCUGUCUAGCUGGUCUGGUGUCCCAGCCUUACCUCAAGAGUUGAGUCCUCACUCCCAUUGGAGGGAUAAAGGCUGGUGAGGGAGAAAGACAAUCAAAGAGUCACACAGAUACACAUACCACCAUGAUAGAAGCUCUGAAAAGAACAAGCUGGUAUGAAAGCAGAAACCACAGCACCAGGCCAGGUGUGCAAGAUUUGAGCAGAGCUCCCCGAGGACGUGAUGUCUGAGUUGAGAUAGCAACGAAUUGACUGGAGGGCUCAUGCUGAGAAUUAAACUGAGUCGUGAAGAAGAAGAGACUCACCUUUGGGUUCCAUGUUGGCGUCAGACUAGGAGCUCGGAGUUUGCCAGGCAAUGGGGGAAGCUACCUGGGGCUGGCUGGAGAGGGAGAGAGAGUGGCAAAGACUUGGAAAUUAGGUGCACCUUCCUGAAUAUUUGGAGCUUGGUGAGCCUUAAAUUUACGUAGCCUGUAAAUAGCACCUGAUCCCACUUAGGUAGCUCU